AAAUGUSWGGAGUCGAACCAGUGAGCGUUGAAAAGCUUUUGGAUGAGAUGUGGGUAGGGGUGAAAUGCCAAUCGAACGUGGAGAUAGCUGGUUCUCCCCGAAAUAGCUUUAGGGCUAGCCUCAUGGCGAGAGUACAGGCGGUAGAGCACUGAACGGGGUAGGGGCCUAUCCGGCUACUGAACCUAAUCAAACUGCGAAUGGCUGUACUUAUCCAUGGGAGUCAGACUGUGAGUAAUAAGGCCCAUAGUCAAGAGGGAAACAGCCCAGACCAACAGCUAAGGUCCC
rnacentral:rRNA from 1 species